GUCGAACGGUGAACACGGAGCUUGCUCUGUGGGAUCAGUGGCGAACGGGUGAGUAACACGUGAGCAACCUGCCCCUGACUCUGGGAUAAGCGCUGGAAACGGCGUCUAAUACUGGAUAUGUGACGUGACCGCAUGGUCUGCGUUUGGAAAGAUUUUUCGGUUGGGGAUGGGCUCGCGGCCUAUCAGCUUGUUGGUGAGGUAAUGGCUCACCAAGGCGUCGACGGGUAGCCGGCCUGAGAGGGUGACCGGCCACACUGGGACUGAGACACGGCCCAGACUCCUACGGGAGGCAGCAGUGGGGAAUAUUGCACAAUGGGCGGAAGCCUGAUGCAGCAACGCCGCGUGAGGGAUGACGGCCUUCGGGUUGUAAACCUCUUUUAGCAGGGAAGAAGCGAAAGUGACGGUACCUGCAGAAAAAGCGCCGGCUAACUACGUGCCAGCAGCCGCGGUAAUACGUAGGGCGCAAGCGUUAUCCGGAAUUAUUGGGCGUAAAGAGCUCGUAGGCGGUUUGUCGCGUCUGCUGUGAAAUCCCGAGGCUCAACCUCGGGCCUGCAGUGGGUACGGGCAGACUAGAGUGCGGUAGGGGAGAUUGGAAUUCCUGGUGUAGCGGUGGAAUGCGCAGAUAUCAGGAGGAACACCGAUGGCGAAGGCAGAUCUCUGGGCCGUAACUGACGCUGAGGAGCGAAAGGGUGGGGAGCAAACAGGCUUAGAUACCCUGGUAGUCCACCCCGUAAACGUUGGGAACUAGUUGUGGGGUCCAUUCCACGGAUUCCGUGACGCAGCUAACGCAUUAAGUUCCCCGCCUGGGGAGUACGGCCGCAAGGCUAAAACUCAAAGGAAUUGACGGGGACCCGCACAAGCGGCGGAGCAUGCGGAUUAAUUCGAUGCAACGCGAAGAACCUUACCAAGGCUUGACAUAUACGAGAACGGGCCAGAAAUGGUCAACUCUUUGGACACUCGUAAACAGGUGGUGCAUGGUUGUCGUCAG
rnacentral:rRNA from 1 species